ensembl:ncRNA M02G9.5 ncRNA
UUACUGGAAACUAAAUAUGUCACGUAGACACAUGUCUAUUGGGAGGAAAGCGUAUAUAAAACAGUUUAGUCUAUCAACUCUAAUU